rnacentral:rRNA from 1 species
AACGAACGCUGGCGGCAGGCCUAACACAUGCAAGUCGAGCGAGGACUUCGGUUCUAGCGGCGGACGGGUGAGUAACGCGUGGGAAUGUGCCCUUCUCUACGGAAUAGCCCUGGGAAACUGGGAGUAAUACCGUAUACGCCCUAUUGGGGAAAGAUUUAUCGGGGAAGGAUCAGCCCGCGUUGGAUUAGGUAGUUGGUGGGGUAAUGGCCUACCAAGGCGGCGAUCCAGAGCUGGUUUGAGAGGAUGAUCCGCCACGAUGGGGAUGAGACACGGCCCCGUACGCCAAGGGGGGGCGGCGGGGGGUAUACUAGACAAUGGGGGCAACCCUGAUCUAGCCAUGCCGCGUGAGUGAUGAAGGCCUUAGGGUUGUAAAGCUCUUUCAGCUGGGAAGAUAGUGACGGUACCAGCAGAAGAAGCCCCGGCUAACUCCGUG